GACGAACGCUGGCGGCGUGCUUAACACAUGCAAGUCGAACGGAAAGGCCCUGCUUUUGUGGGGUGCUCGAGUGGCGAACGGGUGAGUAACACGUGAGUAACCUGCCCUUGACUUUGGGAUAACUUCAGGAAACUGGGGCUAAUACCGGAUAGGAGCUCCUGCUGCAUGGUGGGGGUUGGAAAGUUUCGGCGGUUGGGGAUGGACUCGCGGCUUAUCAGCUUGUUGGUGGGGUAGUGGCUUACCAAGGCUUUGACGGGUAGCCGGCCUGAGAGGGUGACCGGCCACAUUGGGACGGGGAUACGCACAAGACGCCUACGGGAGGCAGCAGUGGGGAAUAUUGCACAAGGGGCGGAAGACUGAUGCAGCAACGCCGCGUGGGGGAUGACGGCCUUCGGGUUGUAAACCGCUUUCGCCUGUGACGAAGCGUGAGUGACGGUAAUGGGUAAAGAAGCACCGGCUAACUACG
rnacentral:rRNA from 1 species